UCACACGCCAUUCUCCCUUGCUCCACCUCUCCCACACUUGUUCUUCCACUCUACUCAAGAUCCUUUCGAAUUUCCAAGAGAUUAUUGAAGAAUCAAGGCUUUUAUUCGUUCCUACCGUUUGUUUCGUCCAAGAGAGGUUGAGCAGCGACGAGCGGUUGGUGGUGUUGAGCAGAAAUAAUAAUAUGGUUGCUUUGAAACUUCGAGUGUCGUUGUGUCUUCACACAUGACUUCACUCUUCUCUUGGAUGCUUCCGCUGUGAUAUUUUCCUUACGUACAUUUUUACUUAACUAUGGCUCUUUUUGAUUAAAUGUUGAGAACUCGUUACCCUUUUUAUUAAUGUCAAACCUUUGGUCUUUUCAUUUAUUUUAAUAUAGGUAUCUUCGGUCGUUUAA